GAUCUUUCUCCCCAUUAGCAGGUUUAAUCAAGUUCAUCCAGUCCACCAAACUUUUUUUCCUUUCAGCUGAUUGAUCAGAUACCUUGCUAGCAUCAGCAGCUUCUUCGCCUCUGGUUAGGCUACCAUUUCAACCCAUCUCCUUAAGCUACAAUUUUUUGUCACAUUAAUUAAUUUGUAAACAAAAAACAUAUUUGCACAAAUGACAUUGAAAUACAUAAAAAGAUACUAUGGAAACAUGUAAAGAUUACAGCCAAAAAAAGAAACAAAAUAGCUAAGAAGUUUGAGUGACAUAUUGAGAGAAAAUUUAUUUACAGUUACAGACACUGUAAUGAUCUAUAGUGUCAAAAGAAGUCCAAAUAUCUAAUUAAUACCUGUAGCAGGAAUUUGACCAGUAAUUCAAGGAGUUCAAGAAAGUUAUCUACAUUCAAAAGAGAAGCUACUCAUCUAACAAAAUAAGGAUUAAUGGUUUGCCAUGAAGAACUGAUCUUUCUGCUGUUUCUUCUUGAGCUUGACAUGUUUUGCACAAUACUAAGAUUAGGCAAGGUCAGAUAAGUUUGGGCCGUGCAGAUCCUCUAGUAACAUGAUCAACCUGAAAUAAGAGGAUGAUUCUAUGUGUUUUGUGAGAUCAAAGAACAAUAAUUGGUAAAUCUGAAAGUACUGUAUGAUUUUAGAGUAUCUGGUCGAAAAAUAGAUAGUGAUGUUGGGUCUUGAAAAUUCAAAUUAUCGCAAAUCUGCCAAUAUACUGAACGACAAGAUUUCUAAUUUUCCUCUCAGAUACAUAGGGUUUACCCUUAGACCAGAUGUCUCAUGUCUCGUGAGCAAAUGAUUAAUCCCAACUGAUAAUAUCAUAGUUUUCUUCCAGACAAUCUUGUCUCACAUCUAAUCUCAAUGAUGACUUAGGUUUAUUACGAAACAGUUAAGAUCAUGCAUAUGAGUUCUCAAAUGUUUUUCAAGCUGGCUUUUAGCGGCCUUCCACAACCCUCCACCUUUUUCAUUCGGGCUUGGGACCGACA
rnacentral:lncRNA from 1 species